AUGGCAGGCAUUCGAGCUUUAUUUAUGUACUUGUGGCUGCAGCUGGACUGGGUGAGCAGAGGAGAGAGUGUGGGGCUGCAUCUUCCUACCCUGAGUGUCCAGGAGGGUGACAACUCUAUUAUCAACUGUGCUUAUUCAAACAGCGCCUCAGACUACUUCAUUUGGUACAAGCAAGAAUCUGGAAAAGGUCCUCAAUUCAUUAUAGACAUUCGUUCAAAUAUGGACAAAAGGCAAGGCCAAAGAGUCACCGUUUUAUUGAAUAAGACAGUGAAACAUCUCUCUCUGCAAAUUGCAGCUACUCAACCUGGAGACUCAGCUGUCUACUUUUGUGCAGAGAAUA